rnacentral:rRNA from 1 species
GACGUAGGGUGCAAGCGUUGUCCGGAUUUACUGGGCGUAAAGGGCGCGUAGGCGGCCUGUUAAGUGUGAAGUGAAAUCUCCAGAGCUCAACUCGGAAACUGCUUCGCAUACUGGCAGGCUUGAGGAACGAAGAGGUAACUGGAAUUCCUGGUGUAACGGUGAAAUGUGUUGAUAUCAGGAGGAACUCCAAUGGCGAAGGCAGGUUACUGGUCGUUAUCUGACGCUGAGGCGCGAAAGCGUGGGUAGCAAACAGG